rnacentral:rRNA from 1 species
GACGAAGGGGGCUAGCGUUGUUCGGAAUUACUGGGCGUAAAGCGCGUGUAGGCGGUUGCCCAAGUCGGGUGUGAAAGCCUUGAGCUCAACUCAAGAAAUGCACUCGGUACUGGGUGACUAGAGGACCGGAGAGGAUAGUGGAAUUCCCAGUGUAGUGGUGAAAUACGUAGAGAUUGGGAAGAACACCAGUGGCGAAGGCGGUUAUCUGGACGGUUUCUGACGCUAAGACGCGAAAGCGUGGGGAGCAAACAGG